CGAACAAGCUUCACGUAUUCCGCGUACCGGACUGCGUGUGCACGACGCAAGCACAUUUUUGUCCGGUGUGAAAAUUAUUGCAAAGUGCUAUUUUCCGGCAAAAUCGUACUAACUAAUCGAAAAAGAACCUGAAAAAGUUAGUCCAGAAAAGGUAUGGCAGAUCGUCAAACACAAGCACGCGCCAGAGCGCGCGGCUACGCGGCUGUGAAUAUUUCCCAUGAAGGACGUGAGGGAAGAGGUCAGGCUCCAGUUCGCGGAAGUGGUAUUGGUAUAUCGGGACAAGGACCUCGUCCCGCAUGGGGUCAACCAGGAGCUGGCGAGGGUCGUGCGAUGGUUCAUCGAGACUCGAGUGCAGGUCGCAGUGAAACAAUGCGGGCAGGACGUGGUGAAACGAUGCGAGCAGGACGUGGUGAAGCGAUGCGAGAAGGGCGUGGCGAAGCGAUGCGAGAAGGACGUAGUGAAGCAAUGCGCGAAGGCCGGCCAGGCGACGGAAAUGGAAAUGGAACUGGAACUAGCAACAGUGGAGGAACCACCACAAGCCGAGGAGCGAUGCGUGGUCGACGAAACAUUGGCGACACUCUUCGAACCCGUGCUCUGGAUGCCCCCUCGAAACAUGGAAGCACUGGAUCCGCCUUGCAGUUACACAGCAACUAUUUCAAACUGCUUAAGCACAUUGAAUGGACUUUGUAUCAAUAUCGCAUUGAUUUCUCUCCCCAAUGUGCUAGUUCUCGUCUAAUGCAGGGGUUAGUCAAUGAGCAUAAAAAAAUCUUUGGUGGUUUUCUGUUCGAUGGUACUCAAUUGUUUAUGGUAAACAAACUGAGAAGCGAUCAAUUGACCCUGCAAUCACGCCACGAGCGAACUGGAGACAUCUAUCAGCUACGAAUUGUACACACGGGAACCGUUGACAUGACUAAUGAAACCGGUAUUCAGGUAUUGAACUUGAUUCUUCGACGGGCUAUGGCUGGUUUGAACUUACAGCUUGUGGGACGAAAUUUGUUUGAUGCCGCAGCAAAAAUCGCCAUCCGCGAGUAUCAGAUCGAAUUGUGGCCUGGGUACAUUACCAGUAUUCGCCAACACGAAGCCGACAUUUUGGUGUGUUGUGAAAUUGCACAUAAAACUAUGAGAAUGCAAACCUGUUACGAUAUUCUACGCGACUGUCAGAAGCACGAUCGCAACUAUAAGGAUUCGUUCAAACGAGCCGUUCUGGGUGUUGUCGUACUCACCGGUUAUAACAACAAAACGUACACAAUUAAUGACGUAACAUUUGAGACGACUCCGGAGAGCACAUUCGACACUAAGAAUGGCAAAACUUCGUUUUUGGAGUACUACAAAACCAAGUACAACAUCCGUAUUCGUGAUCCACAUCAGCCUAUGCUGCUAUCCCGCGCCAAAAAACGUGACCUACGUGCCGGAGGAAAUGAGCUUAUGGCUUUGGUUCCUGAACUUUGUCAGAUGACUGGAUUAACUGAUCAAAUGAGAUCUGAUUUCAGAAUGAUGCGUGCUAUGGCUGACCACACUCGUUUGAAUCCGGACCGACGUAUCGAACGAUUAGAGACAUUCAAUCGUCGACUGCAGACGUCCCCAGAAAGCUGUGAGGUUUUUAAAACCUGGCAGAUGGAGCUGGAUAGGCGUUUAGUCGAACUUCCCGGUCGAUUGCUUCCACAGGAAAUGAUUUUCUUCUCAACUACUGCAAAUGGUGUACAAGCGGGUGAGCAGGCUGAUUGGACGGCCCAUUUCCGUAACAAUCCCAUGUUUGCUACCGUUCGUCUGUUCCGCUGGUAUCUGGUCGUUCCAAAUCGAGCUACGCGCGAAGCAAACGAUUUUCUUGGUUGCAUGAUACAGGCUGCUCGAGGAAUGCGCUUUGAAAUCAGCAACUGCGAACUGGUUCCUAUUCCAGAUGAUAACCCCGGUACGUACGUACGUACACUGGACAAUAUUCUGAACAAAGACCCUCAGAUGAUUAUGUGCGUGGUGUCCAAUAACAAAGCCGACCGGUAUACCGCCAUCAAGAAAAAGUGUUGCGUCGAUCGGGCCAUUCCUACACAGGUUAUGGUUCAGAAAACAAUCACACCAAAAGGAGGCAAUGUAAGAACACUAAUGUCCGUCGCAACUAAAGUCGUUAUUCAAAUGAAUUGCAAACUUGGUGGAGUACCUUGGAAAGUGAAAAUUCCAUUAAACGGUUUAAUGACAAUUGGGUUCGAUGUGUGUCACGAUGCCAAGGAUAAAACAAAAUCUUUCGGAGCGAUGGUUGCCACGUUAGAUCAUGACAACAAGGGUACACCCAAAUUCUUUUCCACCGUAAGUCAGCACACGCAUGGAGAAGAAAUCUCCAACUACCUUCCGAUCAACACCGUGAAAGCGUUAAAUGAGUACCGUAAGGAAUUCGGAGAGCUUCCCAAACGUAUAAUUUUCUAUCGAGACGGUGUCGGCGAAGGACAGUUGCACUAUAUUUACGAACACGAAGUAAAGUCCAUAGUCGAUAAACUUAACCAGAUCUACAAAUCCGCAGGAGUUGAUCAGGAUGUUUUACUUACCUUCUUUAUUGUGAAUAAGCGUAUCAAUACGCGAUUCUUCGAUCACCGACAAAAUCCUAAACCCGGAACCGUAGUUGACGACAUCGUAACCCUUCCUGAAAGGACUGAUUUUUACUUGGUUUCGCAAUCGGUACGGCAAGGUACCGUUUCACCGACCGCGUACAACGUUAUCUAUGACACAUCCGGUUUGAAGAUUGAUCAUUUACAAAUGCUUUCGUACAAACAGUGUCAUUUAUACUAUAACUGGUCUGGCACAACUCGGGUUCCGGCGGUGUGUCAGUACGCACAUAAAUUGUCCUUCCUGGUGGCCCAGUUUCUGCAUCAAGCACCGAGCAAUCUUCUGGAGAAGAAGUUGUAUUUCCUGUAAAUCAGCCUGAACGAAAAUGUGGUGAGUGCGCGAUAUUUGACAUUUCAAUCACACGAAAAACCAAACGUAACCCAUGAAGGAACUAAAUUACGCUACGUUAUACUUCUUAUUCGAUCCUAAAGAAAGUCCCCCCUGAAUACGCGCACUCGAUCGUUGGCGAGACAUUUGUUUUAUCUCUAUAAGAAAGAAAUACUAUACUACUAAUAAUUUACAGUACAUAUAUCACAUAACAUAUUACUUGUAAUAUUCAAUCUUGAUGGAUAAUUGAUGGUUCACAAAUGGUUUAAUAAAUAAAUGAUGACAACUCAA